GACGAGGAGAACGAGGAGGACGAGGAAGAGGGGAACGAGGAGAACGAGGAGGAAGAGGAAGAGGAAGAGGAAGAGGAAGAGGAAGACAAGAAGGUGCUCAAAGAGGACCGAAUCUGACAAAUGAGAUCCGCGCAACACUGGUUGACCACGUUGUCAACCACGGCCUGACGCUGAGGGAGGCUGGACUCCGAGUACAGCCAAAUCUAAGCCGAUAUACAGUGGCAAGUGUGAUGAGAACAUUUCGACUGGAAAAUAGGUAUUGUAAAAAUAUCAUCAUAUCAAAAACAUCUGCACGGUUUCAGUCACUGCUUACAGUACUGUAUUCUAUGCACUAUCGGCACUUCUGUUACCUUUUCCUGUGAAAUUACUGUACUAUUGUAUACUGUUUUUUUUUUCUACAUAGGAUUGAGGGUCAGGGACGACAAGGGGGAAGGCCUCCUAUGUUCACAGAACAGCAAGAGAGGGAGAUAGUAAACAUGGUUUUGGCCAACAAUGCUAUAACACUCAAGCAGCUCCAAGCUAACAUUGUCAAUAACCACGCCAUUUUCAAUGAUAUCCAUCAGGUCUCAACAUCAACACUGGCACGCAUCCUAAAAAAGAAACAUAUUCAAAUGAAGCAAAUUUAUCGAGUGCCUUUCGAGCGCAAUUCCGAAAGGGUAAAACGACUGCGGCAUGAUUAUGCAGAGAGUUUUACGAAUGGAUGGAGAGGAGAUCCAGCAUGAGUUCAUUUACGUAGAUGAGGCUGGGUUCAACCUGACGAGAACACGAAGGAGGGGAAGAAACAUCAUUGGCCACAGGGCUAUAGUCAAUGUCCCAGGGCAACGUGGGGGUAAUAUAACACUCUGUGCAGCCAUUACACAGAAUGGGGUCCUCCACCGCCAUGCCCAUAUGGGCGCUUACAACACAGCACUCAUACUUACAUUCUUGGACCAAUUGCGCAACAUAACAGCAGCAAAUCAAAUAAAUCAUAUGCAAUACAUUGUUGUCUGGGACAAUGUGUCUUUCCAUCGCUCUGCUCUGGUUCAGAACUGGUUUCAGCAACAUCCACAUUUCACCGUCUUAUAUCUUCCACCAUACUCUCCAUUCCUCAACCCUAUAGAAGAGUUUUUCUCGGCAUGGCGGUGGAAGGUAUAUGAUCUCCGUCUCCAGGCUGAGGUACCCCUCAUCCAAGCCAUGGAGGAGGCCUGUGACCAGAUGGAGGUAGCAGCAAUGCAAGGAUGGAUUCGUCAUUCAAGACGUUUCUUUCCAAGGUGUCUUGCUAAUGACAACAUUGCCUGCGAUGUUGAUGAAAUUCUCUGGCCAGAUCCUGCUAGGCGAAGAGACAAUGUCUAGUUGUUGUUUUUUAACUUACAAUACGUAAAGUGACGUUUGAUUACAGUAUUAUGAAUCUCUAUGUCAACAUUUUGGGCGUGUUGAGAAAUAAAUGAGUUUCUUCAGUCUGCAACAUUGGUCUUGUGUAUUGUUUGGUGAAUUUACAUUAUAUUUGUACUUUGUUGAUAGUAGCCUACUCUAAUCAUAGGGAAGUAGAAGUGCUAAAAGUGUUUUAGGUUUAUCACAGCAGAGUGUAACUCGUGCAAACAGAGUAUAGUAAUGUGAAACGUGUGUGUUUCAUAUAGUAACAAAGUGUGGUUUUUAAAAAGAAGUGUAUAGUUUUUACAGGAGUGUUUAAUUUUGCAAAGGAUCUGUAGUGUUUUGCUAAUUGGGUGUGUGGUUGUGCUAAUUGUGUGUAGUGUUUUGAAAACACAGGCCCUGUUUUUGAAAAUUGUGCUCAAGCAAUCGAGAAAA